UGUGUACAUCAGUCCGGAGCUGAGGUGUCUCUCCGACUUCCUCCGAGGGCAGAGCUGCUUACGGGUCUGUGCAGAUAAUGAGACUGCUGAGGGAAAGGAGAGGAUAUUCAGCACGGAAACCAGCCUUGGGCCAGAUCUCCCUCCUCAUCUAACCAGAGGGCUAGCGUGGAAAGGUGCUGCCGAGCUCCGCGGUAGGUCUGGCUCGGCUGGUCGGCGGAGGCGAAGCGGUGGCGAGAGACUCCCGCGCCCCGACGGGAAGCCUGGAACAGUCUGGUCUUGCCCACGGGAGCCCACCGUCUUCAGGACCCUCCUGGGCAGAGCUGGCUCCACCGUGGUGCUUUUGUACCGCAGAGCAUCUGCUUUCAAAGAGCUUCGGCCUCUUUGGCACGCCUCUCGCGGCCAGUCUGGGAGAGCUUUCGUCGUCUAACGCGGACGAGCUGCCGCUGAGUCUAACGCUGCCUUUCAGUGGGUUUCUUAUCUCCAGUUGGUCCAGAGAAGGUUUUGUUUCAUAUUGCUGCUGGCAAGCUGUAUUUCACAGCUUAGAGCAAUGGGAGCUCCCUUCGUGCAGUCUGCUGAGCCCUGCUGCCCCACGGCCCCGUUUAGGGUAAUCCCCCGAGUUACCUAGACUUUACAGAGAGGCCCGCGUGGCAAAGGAUGCUAGAGACACAGAGCCAAUGGCUUCUUCUGAACUUGAAAAGCCGUAAAGCUCUUCCAGCUUCAGAUUAGUGCAACUAAACCAGACGACUGUCCUUUCUCAUACAUCAAGCAAAGCCAUGCUGCACUCCACGCAUUAAGCCGGGCGGAAAUUGCUCUUCCUCGUUUCUGUCGAUACGCAAGCUACGUACAUUUUUCCUUUUGUAAAAUCCUCAAGGAUAGGGAGGUAGAAACACUGCUCCAUUUUAUGGGAAAAUAAAAGGCAGCAGGGAUGCAAAAGAGCUGUUGGACUUAGGAACUGAGUCUAAACCUUCUGAAUGCUCUUCAGUGCCUUAGCAAGAUGUCCUACCUCUUGAAGAAGAUACUAAUGGAUAUGUAGCAUCAAAAAUGAUUUACAAACCUAUUGUAAACGUGCCUAUUCAGACAAACCAGUGCUGAGGCUAUUGCUCAAUCCUAUUUUUAGAAGCACUAGCAGUCUGUUUUCGUUUUACAAAGAUGGUCCUCUUCUUAGUCUCAGAAAGCAUCAGCUUCGUGAAAGCCUCAGCUAUGAAAUGAGUAGUAAAUUUUCAUACACCUUUCCCCUCGUAUUUUUCAGGGAAUUGGUUAUGUUGCCCAAGGAAACAAAAAGGUUAAAAACAAAGGAGAAGCAAUAAACUAAGACUCAGAUUCUUGUCUAGAGGAAUAAAGCUGACCCAAACCUUUGCCAGAAUUACAGCUUCGCCCUGAGAUUAACACUUCUGCCCUUUGACUACAUAAACGCAGCUGUCACAGCCUCAUCUGCAGUCGAAGCACCCUCAAAGAGCAUCAUGCUAACUAGGAACUGGAUGCUGAAAUUACGGCGUCCUCGAGGGGUCCCCUACUCCAUCGCUGCUAAGGCAAAAUCAGCUAGACCGAACGUCUGCUGGAAAUGGGCCCGUUCUCAUGGGUCAUGUUUUCUGGAUGGCUGCUCCUGCCUAUGCUCUUCUAUGGUCCACGUUUUUGCCUUGUGCUGCCUUAAUUUGGUCUAGUAUUUAUCUGGGGCCUUGCCAGGAGCACAUAUAUUGGAAAGACUGCUUUGUUUCUUGCUGAUGAUACGUAAGCUGCAAUAAUCCUGCGGGGAUUUUUUCUGCAUGUUAUCAAAGACAAAUUGUUCAAAUUUUGAUCCCAUUGUAAGGGCCAGCCUACUUCUUGCACAGAAGCUGGAGUCAGCAUUAGAGAUUUAAGUUAAGUGGUGUUUUUUCGUGUUACCUAAGACAUUUUUGCUUUGGACUGAGAAUAUAAUUAGUUCCACAGUUAUCACUAAACUAAUGGAAUGUUUCUGCCUAGGUUAGCAGAAAUGUUUAAGUGGCUAGUCCCCUUACAGCUCCCAAAUGCCUGUAAUUUGUGGUCCUCCCUCACGGAGGAUUUGGAUGCAACUCCAAACUGCAGUGGAGAUUCCACCCCACUGCCUUUGACUGCUUUCAGCUCAUUCCCUACAUCUUCGGUUUAAUUUGAUCUAACUAUAGCUUGCUGGCAAAUGACAAUUCAUAGUUAGAUGAUUUUCAAAGUCUAAUUGCUCCAGAUUCUUCUCAGUACUUCAGUAUUUCUUAAUUGUAUUAGCCAAGGUGAGGAUAAUUGCUGCUUUCAUAUCCCUGAAACUUCUCAUACAAAGGAGGAUUAUGCAAGAAUAUGCUCAUUCUCUCCAAUAAAUGAUCCCUCUGUUAUUAGGGAGUGUGUGCGGAGGGACUGCUGGGAAGCAUUCCACCGAACCAUUAUGUACUAGAACAAAACCUGAGACUUGCAGAUACAAGACUAAAUUAUAGUCUGGGGCAAUCAUCAGAAUACACUUAUUUUCUGGAGGUUGUUCUUUCAGAAGAUGAAUGAGCCCCAAAUCUACAAAUAACCCAGUAUUUUGCAUAUUGGGGAUCCUCCGAGUGGGCAAAAAUCUCCUAUUUAUAGGUCUCUGGUAUUUUGGCAUUGCUACUGGUCGUGAUACCAACAUGGUCCUGAUUAAAACUACUAGUCUGUGCCAACCAGUGGCCUUUUAUCUUUUGCUUUGUUCCUGAACUCCUGGGCUGCUGGGCCUUUUCGCUCCCCUGGCCUGUUUAGCUUCAGGUGCUUAAGCUGUAUCCAGGGCUCCUAGACCUCUGGGUACUGUAGCUGUGUGCUUGUACGUGAAGUGCAAUAAAGUCACUCCAGCAGAGAAUUAGACAUAAUGUUCUCCCUUAAGCUCCAGCAAUUAAAUAUAAACAUACGCAUGCACAAUAAAAUGCCAUGUUUCACUUCUGAGACUACAACAACCAUUUUAAGAAAAGAGGAUGAACCAUGUAUUUUCUGACACUCUAAUCUGAUAGACUAAAUGUGGGAAGGAGGCAUUCAGUUAGUCAAACACUUAAUCCAAGAAGCAAGUUCUACACAAAUUGCUGAUAAAGCUGACAAAUUUCACAGCCUGUUGUGUGGAAAAUAUUACAUUUCAUGGUUCUUCACAGAUGAUGAGAAAUCCUAUUAAAAUCCUGAAAAAUUAUGUAUACAAGUUAAACAUGGAUAUUAAAAUGAUCCAUGUUUUUGGAUGCGGGAUAACAAGUAAAAUGAACAUCCCUUAAGGAUAAUAGCAAGUGUCACAGAGGUUUUAUACAGGGUCCCUGAUAAGAAGUAAUCUUAUUAUAGUCCAGAACCAAUUUCUCUUGCACCACAUAAUGCUCAAAAAUAGUUUAAGUGUUUCUUUCAAUUGCUAGAUAAACUCAGAGAAUAAAUAAGAUGGAGGUCCUAACGGGGAGUGUUUGAACCGCUGCAAGACUAUCAGCCCUUUCAGGUAAGCUGUUUCAUCACUCCAGGUCUUUAAAUCAAGAUGGGCUGUGCCAUGAUUUUGAGGCAGCCGAGCUAUAACUGAGGAGCUUUUUCCAGUUACUGUGGCUGGGUCUACGUACACUGGUAUGAG